GAUAUGGGACCAAGAUGCAUAGCUCCAGAGGCCUGUUCACUUUCCCAAUUUUUACCAAGAUGACCAGAAGCCUUGAAAGGAAAGCAGAGUUGUACCCGUGAACUGAGUUUUACUCCAAAGCUCUCUACUUCCCAUUUCCAGGGAGGCCCUGUUCCAAGUUCUGUGUCAGGGGUGUAGACGAAUACUCAUGUGCAAUCUGAACAUGCUGGCUUUCUUGGCUCUUGGGUCCCCGAAUCUGAUGCUCUGCAAAGGACUGGAAGUGCCACCACCUUGGCAGUGCCCCUGAGCUCAGUCUGGUGAGUAAGUACACAGCUGGAAAACUGGAUGGGCUCAGCAAGGGCUGACCGUCUGCUGCAUUUGAAGGCUUGGAUCCAACCUAGUUUGCUUCACACCGCAGGCUCCAGCAAUUCUUAGGAGUUCCAACAACUACAUGUGGUAUUGUAGCCACUUCCUUGGUUCCUGAACACACAACCCAGAACUGAAUGGAAGGAAACAACGUCUGUGACUCCUCUGCUCUUACUCCGGGCCUCCCAGAGCUGCAGCCACCCUCUCUCCAUUUUCCACAUGCCUGCAGGAAGGCCAAGCGCUCAGCUCUUACUGGAUCCCACUCCAUCCCUACAUCUGCUUUCAUCUAUUGCAUCCCUUCUCCUUGUUUCAGCUUGGUGUAACUGAAAAAACAACAGAGACUUAAAUCCUAAUCCUAACUAGCUAACUGACUGUGAGCAAGUUGUUUAAUAUUUCUGGGCUCCAAUUUUUGCCUCAACGAAAACGUUAGUCCUACCUGAUACACUACAACAGUCUCUCACCUGCUUGCCAUGUCUAGUGGUUCUCUCAGCUCCAGUCCUGCCACCACGCUAAUCAUCCUAAAACUGUGGUUUUGCAUAAUCUCCCUGAUGCUCCAGCUUCUGUGAUAUGUCUCAUUUCUAAAGAAAUUUGGUCUCAACUCCUUAGCCUGGCAUCCUCAAUGCGAUCAUUUCCCAGCUGUACCUCCCAUUAUCUCCUGCUGCUUCUUUUUAUUCAUGGUUUCCAAGCUAUGGUAUGUGUACCUCUGAGGGCAUAGGAAGUUCGUCAGGGGCUACUUAAAGCCCCAGGAUGCCUCUUGCCAGAGCAUCAAUUUUAUCAUUUGGAGGAGAAAGGGUGUUUUCAAAACUUUGUUCUUGAUGACCAUUUAAAUAUUUUUUAAUAAAU